CGGAAGUUAGCCCAAUUGGUAGAGGCGUUUGACUCAAGAUCAAAUUGCAGGUUCACAUCCUGCUUGUAGGUUCAAAUCCUACACUUUCAACCA
rnacentral:tRNA from 1 species